AAUAUGCUAAUCAACAUUUUGCCAUUAUUCAGACCCUAAAAUAAUAAAAGUCACAACUGCAAUAGCCAUCUCAUUGGCAAUAGAAACAAUUGGGUAUAAGCCUACCUUAACCUGCAAUAUAGGAAAUAAUAAUACCUGCAUGAAAUAAUACAAAUAGUACCUAAGCUUUCGGAAAAAUAUGUAAAUGUGGCCUAUUCUAGUUUUAGAAGGCUAUUACAAUAUUAAAGGCUUCAUUAAAAGUGUUCUAAAGUUUGUUGUUGUUAAAGUUGUUUUGGCAUGAAAUAGAUCACGGCUUACGUCAUCCAGUUACCAUCUACUGCGCUCUGCACGCUACGAGAGUGUGACGCUCUGAGUAUCCGGACGACAAUUCCAAUGACUUUACUGGAUGCAUUUACGACCGGUUCCCGAGUGAUAGAGUGUGCUCGUAGAGUGGUGGUUUACUAACGGAUCCUAAAACGAACGGCUGUAUUCACGCGUAAUGUUUGGCUUUGCCGAUAAGGGCUACUGUUUCUUUAUACCAAUAUCACACUGAUGUGUAUGGCUUCAUGCAUGAAUACAUUGAGAGGCAAUGAUAUACAUUACAGGGGAGCUGGGCACCGGGGAGCAAGCAAAGGAUGGGAACAUGCGGAAUAAGCAAAUGAUAAUGAGGCCUCAUUCGGGCCUUUGUGGGGUGUGUUUGUGUUUAGGCACUCCCAGUAUCUGAAUAAAAAUGGGAGCUUGGAUUUGGUGGCACCAGUUGGAAGACAAAGAAGAAGACAGAGGAAUCAAUGGUCGCUGGUGCUGGCUAACAAAGUUUGAGAACCUACAUGGGUGUGGCCUUUCCCAGAUGGAAAUCACUGAUGAAGGACAAAUAUGUU
ensembl:lncRNA